UUCCCUACGGGGGGCAGCAGUGGGGAAUAUUGCACAAUGGGGGAAACCCUGAUGCAGCAACGCCGCGUGAGUGAGGAAGUAUUUCGGUAUGUAAAGCUCUAUCAGCAGGGAAUAGAAAAGAAGGUACCUGAAAAAGAAGCCCCGGCUAACUACGUGCCAGCAGCCGCGGUAAUACGUAGGGGGCAAGCGUUAUCCGGAUUUACUGGGUGUAAAGGGAGCGUAGGCGGUUUAGCAAGUCAGAAGUGAAAGCCCGGGGCUCAACUCCGGGACUGCUUUUGAAACUGUUGAACUAGAUUGCAG
rnacentral:rRNA from 1 species